rnacentral:rRNA from 1 species
UGAGGAAUAUUGGUCAAUGGGCGAGAGCCUGAACCAGCCAAGUAGCGUGAAGGAUGACUGCCCUAUGGGUUGUAAACUUCUUUUAUAAAGGAAUAAAGUCGGGUAUGCAUACCCGUUUGCAUGUACUUUAUGAAUAAGGAUCGGCUAACUCCGUGCCAGCAGCCGCGGUAAUACGGAGGAUCCGAGCGUUAUCCGGAUUUAUUGGGUUUAAAGGGAGCGUAGAUGGAUGGUUAAGUCAGUUGUGAAAGUUUGCGGCUCAACCGUAAAAUUGCAGUUGAUACUGGAGAUCUUGAGUGCAGUUGAGGCAGGCGGAAUUCGUGGUGUAGCGGUGAAAUGCUUAGAUAUCACGAAGAACUCCGAUUGCGAAGGCAGCCUGCUAAGCUGCAACUGACAUUGAGGCUCGAAAGUGUGGGUAUCAAACA